GGGGCUGUAGCUUAGUGGUAGAGCACUUGCCUAGUACGUGGGAGGCAGUGGGUUCAAUCCUCAGCACCA
rnacentral:tRNA from 1 species